ACUAACGUUCUGCCGUGCGCAUAUAAGUGGAAGGGAUCAGCAUUUCUUUCAUUCGAAUCUUGAAGUAUUGGAUUGGGUGAAUUAUUGGAGCUUAUAAUUUACGCAUUUGUAAAUUUUAAAGAAAGCUAGUUCGAAAAAGCUGUUAAUUCACGAGAACUAUGAAAGGAUACCUGACCACUUUUGCCGUUCUGUUUGCUGUGGCCUCCUUUUUGUUGGUAGACGCUGCACCCCGUGCACAAGUAAAGCGCGGCUUCAAAUCGUAUUUUGAAAACUACUUGGAUGAAAUGGCAACAAGUGCUUGUGUUGCGAUGGGAAAUACCGUACGUCUGUACUUUGCAGUUCGUCGAACUUGUAGUAUCAAAAGCAAAGAAACAUGUCACAAAGUUUGCACUUCGCAACAAGUAAGAAAGGAAGGGCAAAUCUGGAACUCCAAAAAGCUGCUUAAUACAAGGUGUGUGGAGUCAUUACAUGUCUACAAGAAUCGCCCAUCGUUGGCUGACAAUAAGUUGGCUGAUACAGAUGUGAACAAAGUGGGCCUAGCAAUUUACCGUUACCAUUCUUGCAACACUGGUGGUUGCGGUCCUAACUACUGCUGCUGUUCAGGGCCAUACAGUUCCUAAAUUCAAGCGUACUUUAAUUUUAAACGAUACAUA